rnacentral:lncRNA from 1 species
UAGAUGUCAUGGUUAUCAAUAAAAUAAAUUAUAGACUUUAAAUUUUAUAAAAAAAAUAAAUAUAAAUAGAUAUGUAACAUUAAUCACAUCUAAAUCACGUACGUAAUCAUGUACCACACGGGCCCAUAUGCAAUCAUAAUCUCCCUAACAUGACACCAAAAGUUGCAAACGGUGACAAUACUUCGGGCGUGACAUGCCACAUACAUCAUGUACGUCAUCACAACACUCACGCUAGCACACACCCACACGCUAAUCACUAAAUCGAUCACGCACACAUGCAAAUCAUAAACAAGCAAAUUCAAGUGUCCGAUCAAAAUUACAUGGUAACACUACAAGAAUCAUGUUAAUCUAUGACAAAAUUUUUGUCACAGAUCAUCAAAAAACCGUCACAAUACAUCAUUUAUGAUGGUUUCAGAUAUCGUCACGGAUUGAGCGUUAUGAAUUGACCUCUGUGACGGUUUUCUAAAAACCAUCACAGACUUACAGAAUCUGUAACGAUCUUAGACCGUCACUAUAAAGCCUAAGGCCUAGAUAGCCCAGCCUAAACCUAUUUUCCAUGAUGAAAAAUAACCGUCAUAGGUAAAUUGUCACAUCACAUAACCAUACUAGCCCAUUUAUUAAAUUAGUGGGCCAAAAUCGAAGAUGUAAUUUUGUAAACACAAAUGAGACAACUUAAUUAAUCAAGCACAUUGUUACAUACAACAUCUCAUGUUUUUUUUGUCUUGCAUCAAAUCAGAUACUAAGUCUCAAGUUACAUACAAGUUUUCGUCUAGCAUCACAUACAAGUUUUCAUCCACCAUUAUAUAAAGUUUCUUUAAGCAUCAGAAACAACAAAAGAUAGGUUCCAACAAAUAAAUGCAUUUGCCCUCUUCCCUGCUUGUAGUUCUGCUUCCAGUUUAGUGUGCUCUAAGUUUGGUAGCCCUGAAAAAUCAAAAAACCAAACACAAGAUUUAGCAGAAUUCAGAUGGCUUGCAACAAAUGCUGCAUUAGGAAGAAUACCCUACACAGCAAGCUUCUCUGUGAUAUGAACUGAAAUUCAGAUUAUUUACUAAACUGUAGCUCUAAAAGUCUGCUCCCAUAAACAACACACUAAACUGCC